rnacentral:rRNA from 1 species
GAUGAACGCUGGCGGCGUGCCUAACACAUGCAAGUCGAGCGGCAGCGAGGGGUGCUUGCACCCUGUCGGCGAGCGGCGGACGGCUGAGUAACGCGUGGGAACGUGCCCCAAAGUGAGGAAUAACUGCCCGAAAGGGUAGCUAAUACCGCAUAUUAUCUUCGGAUCAAAGGAUUUAUCCGCUUUAGGAGCGGCUCGCGUCGGAUUAGGUAGUUGGUGAGGUAAUGGCUCACCAAGCCGACGAUCCGUAGCUGGUCUGAGAGGAUGACCAGCCAGACUGGAACUGAGACACGGUCCAGACUCCUACGGGAGGCAGCAGUGAGGAAUCUUCCACAAUGGGCGAAAGCCUGAUGGAGCAACGCCGCGUGCAGGACGAAGGCCUUCGGGUUGUAAACUGCUUUUAUAAGUGAGGAAUAUGACGGUAACUUAUGAAUAAGGAUCGGCUAACUACGUG